UAAAAAAAGAAACCCCCUCUCCAUGCGGCCUCUUCCAACGAAAAUCCCCCCGAAAAGCUUCCCCCCUUCCAUCCAAUCCAAGCUUCCGAAGGUUCCUCUCCUCUCCACCGAGUUCGAGCAGCCGCGGCAGCAGCAGCCAUGUGCCGGCGCGCGGCGGCACCAACCGGGACAUCGGUGCCAGGUCAUACACGAAGCGGAGGGCAUACCGUUGCUGACUUACAAUGGGGGCUUCGUCGUGGUCUUAGUUCCCGCUAAACGUCUAGGGCAGCAGUAGCAGUAUCAAGUGUACUGCCGAUGCGUUUGAUCCUUCUAGAGCCUCUGGGCCAGGUGGAACAUGGAGUUGUCGUUUGCAGUUCAAUCUGUCCAUGCUACCUCCGCUGGAACUUUAGGUGCUUGAUGAAGAUGAAGAAGAGGAAGGCGAACAGGGCGAUGAU